rnacentral:rRNA from 1 species
UACGGAGGGUGCAAGCGUUGUCCGGAUUCAUUGGGUUUAAAGGGUGCGCAGGCGGGACAUUAAGUCAGGGGUGAAAGACGGUUGCUCAACAAUCGCAGUGCCUUUGAUACUGGUGUUCUUGGGUAACCUUGAGGUAGGCGGAAUAUGUCAUGUAGCGGUGAAAUGCUUAGAUAUGACAUAGAACACCAAUUGCGAAGGCAGCUCGUUACACGAAUAUUGACUCUGAGGCACGAAAGCGUGGGGAUCAAACAGG